CAGCAGCCGCGGUAAUACGAAGGGGGCUAGCGUUGUUCGGAUUCACUGGGCGUAAAGCGCACGUAGGCGGAUCGAUCAGUCAGGGGUGAAAUCCCAGAGCUCAACUCUGGAACUGCCUUUGAUACUGUCGAUCUGGAGUAUGGAAGAGGUGAGUGGAAUUCCGAGUGUAGAGGUGAAAUUCGUAGAUAUUCGGAGGAACACCAGUGGCGAAGGCGGCUCACUGGUCCAUUACUGACGCUGAGGUGCGAAAGCGUGGGGAGCAAACAGGAUUAGAUACCCCGGUAGUCCCUGUCUCUUAUAC
rnacentral:rRNA from 1 species